rnacentral:tRNA from 1 species
GGAGAGUAGGGAGCAUGGUUGCUCAAGCGGUCUUGAAAACCGUCCCAUUGCGCAAGCGAUGAUGGUUCGAUUCCAUUACUCUCCGCCA